UUACCGCAAACCGACACUGGUGCGCGAGAUGAGUAUUCUAAGGCGCUUGAGAGAACUCAGGAGAAGGAACUCGGCAAAUUGACACCGUAACUUCGGAAGAAGGUGUGCCCUAUUAGUGUGUAGUGAACAACGAAGCAUGAAUGGGUUGCAAAAAAUCGGUGGCUGCGACUGUUUAUUAAAAACACUGCACUCUGCAAACACGAAAGUGGACGUAUAGGGUGUGACGCCUGCCCGGUGCUGGAAGAUUAAAUGAUGGGGUGCAAGCUCUUGAUUGAAGUCCCAGUAAACGGCGGCCGUAACGAUAACGGUCCUAAGGUAGCGAAAUUCCUUGUCGGGUAAGUUCCGACCUGCACGAAUGGCGUAACGAUGGCCACACUGUCUCCUCCUGAGACUCAGCGAAGUUGAAAUGUUUGUGAUGAUGCAAUCUCCCCGCGGAAAGACGGAAAGACCCCAUGAACCUUUACUGUAGCUUUGUAUUGGACUUUGAACAGAUCUGUGUAGGAUAGGUGGGAGGCUUUGAAGCAGGGUCGCUAGAUCUUGUGGAGCCAACGUUGAAAUACCACCCUGGUGUGUUUGAGGUUCUAACCUAGGUCCAUUAUCUGGAUCGGGGACAGUGCAUGGUAGGCAGUUUGACUGGGGCGGUCUCCUCCCAAAGCGUAACGGAGGAGUUCGAAGGUACGCUAGUUACGGUCGGACAUCGUGACGAUAGUGCAAUGGCAUAAGCGUGCUUAACUGCGAGACUGACAAGUCGAGCAGAUGCGAAAGCAGGACAUAGUGAUCCGGUGGUUCUGUAUGGAAGGGCCAUCGCUCAACGGAUAAAAGGUACUCUGGGGAUAACAGGCUGAUACCGCCCAAGAGUUCAUAUCGACGGCGGUGUUUGGCACCUCGAUGUCGGCUCAUCUCAUCCUGGGGCUGUAGCCGGUCCCAAGGGUAUGGCUGUUCGCCAUUUAAAGAGGUACGUGAGCUGGGUUUAAAACGUCGUGAGACAGUUUGGUCCCUAUCUUCCGUGGGCGCUGCAGAUUUGAGGAAGCCUGCUCCUAGUACGAGAGGACCGGAGUGGACACACCUCUGGUGUAUCGGUUGUCACGCCAGUGGCAUUGCCGAGUAGCUAAGUGUGGAAGAGAUAACCGCUGAAAGCAUCUAAGCGGGAAACUCGUUUCAAGAUGAGAUCUGCCGGGGCCUUGAGCCCCCUAAAGAGUCGUUCAAGACCAGGACGUUGAUAGGUCAGGUGUGGAAGCCG
rnacentral:rRNA from 1 species